GAGUUUGAUCGUGGCUCAGAGCGAACGCUGGCGGCAGGCUUAACACAUGCAAGUCGAGCGCCCCGCAAGGGGAGCGGCAGACGGGUGAGUAACACGUGGGAACGUACCCUUCAGUUCGGAACAACCAAGGGAAACUUUGGCUAAUACCGAAUACGUCCGUAAGGAGAAAGAUUUAUCGCUGAAGGAUCGGCCCGCGUCUGAUUAGCUAGUUGGUGAGGUAAAAGCUCACCAAGGCGACGAUCAGUAGCUGGUCUGAGAGGAUGAUCAGCAUCACUGGGACUGAGACACGGCCCAGACUCCUACGGGAGGCAGCAGUGGGGAAUAUUGGACAAUGGGCGCAAGCCUGAUCCAGCCAUGCCGCGUGGAUGAUGAAGGCCCUAGGGUUGUAAAGUCCGUUUUAACGGGAAGAUAAUGACGGUACCGUAGAAUAACGCCCGGCUAACUUCGUGCCAGCAGCCGCAGUAAU
rnacentral:rRNA from 1 species